rnacentral:sRNA from 1 species
AAGUAAGGUUGAUCAUCGAAGAACAGCGCUCGUCGUAUCGUCAUUUGGUGAGUGUAACAGUUGAUCCAGUAUAUAAUAUCUCUUGCCCGUUGGCUGUUUCUUCCGAUGAUCCCGAGAUAGAAGGAGGACUUGCUGCGCCUGGUCCAUCUCCGUCCAAGCCACCUGUUAUUGAGCUAGAUCACGUCAUUCGAGCCGGACGCUGCAAGCUUUGCUGCCAGCUCUUCUUUCUAUGUUAAACUAUUAUGAUUAUAUCUAAAAUACUACCGAUAGCAGUAGUCUGCCUCCCUCUUCGCUCGUACGUAUUAAUACUUGAGAACAACCGUUUUGUUUGCGACUGUAACUUGCACACAUUGGUGCUGGCUGCGCAUAUAUGUCCUGUUGUACGUGCGUGAUACGUACCGUUCUAGAUUCUGGAGGAAUUGGAACCUGGAUCCUAGCAAAAGCCUUCCAGUUUUAAAGUUUGAGUCUCCCGAUUCAACGGCGAGAAGAAGCAAGCAGCAAAAUAGCCUCGUAACUUGUCAUUCAUCGAGGGCCUACAUCUCUUGACCUAGCAUAAGGCUAGCAUAAGGCUACUGAUCGAAGGGUUGGGGACGCUCUCAGUGUCCCUUCGCUGAUUUCGAAAAAUCAUACAUAAACUCCUUGGUGUAUGAAAUGAGCGAUGUUAUCUGAUAUCCAGUGUUGUUGGUCGGCCAUGGUUGCUUCAGGUCAUCAUUGACACUACCAACUCACUAUUGCAUGCCUAAGUACCUGCUGUCGUCAGUAGUAUUAUGCAGUUGUUGC